rnacentral:rRNA from 1 species
CCUACGGGAGGCAGCAGUGGGGAAUUUUGCGCAAUGGGGGCAACCCUGACGCAGCAACGCCGCGUGAUUGAAGAAGGCCUUCGGGGUGUAAAGAUCUGUAAGCGGGGACGAAACUUGACGGUACCCGAAGAAUAAGCACCGGCUAACUACGUGCCAGCAGCCGCGGUAAUACGUGGGGAGCAAGCGUUGUCCGGAAUUACUGGGUGUAAAGGGCUUGUAGGUGGGAAGUCAAGCCGGAAGUGAAAUAUGGGAGCUUAACCCCCACAGUGCAGUGGUAACUGGCGAGCUUGAGUGCGGGAGAGGUAGGUGGAAUUCCUGGUGUAGCGGUGAAAGGCGUAGAUAUUGGGAGGAACACCGGUGGCGUAAGCGGCUUGCUGGACCGUAACUGACGCUGAGGAGCGAAAGCGGGGGGAGCAAACGGGAUUAGAUACCCGUGUAGUC